UGCGUCGGCCGGGCGUCGAACCCGGGUCAGCUGCUUGGGAAAUAGCUAUUCUGACCGUUGAACUACCGACGC
rnacentral:tRNA from 13 species